CUAAUGACUGCAAUAAACAUUCAUUGCUGUCGGUGGGUUUCUAAUAGACACAACUCACUGAUCAAUGAAUGCAAACUGCGGUGCAA
ensembl:miRNA mir181b-2 microRNA 181b-2